rnacentral:rRNA from 1 species
UACGUAGGGUGCAAGCGUUGUCCGGAAUUAUUGGGCGUAAAGAGCUCGUAGGCGGUUUGUCGCGUCUGCUGUGAAAACUCGGGGCUUAACUCCGGGCCUGCAGUGGGUACGGGCAGACUAGAGUGCGGUAGGGGAGACUGGAAUUCCUGGUGUAGCGGUGAAAUGCGCAGAUAUCAGGAGGAACACCGGUGGCGAAGGCGGGUCUCUGGGCCGUAACUGACGCUGAGGAGCGAAAGCCAGGGUAGCGAACGGG